rnacentral:rRNA from 1 species
UACGAAGGGGCUAGCGUUGUUCGGAAUUACUGGGCGUAAAGCGCGCGCAGGCGGUCUUCCAAGUCAGUGGUGAAAGCCCGGAGCUCAACUCCGGAACUGCCAUUGAAACUGUAAGACUUGAGGAUGAGAGAGGUGAGUGGAAUUCCCAGUGUAGAGGUGAAAUUCGUAGAUAUUCGGAGGAACACCAGUGGCGAAGGCGGCUCACUGGCUCGGUACUGACGCUGAGGUGCGAAAGCGUGGGGAGCAAACAGGG